rnacentral:rRNA from 1 species
AUGAACGCUGGCGGCGUGCCUAACACAUGCAAGUCGAACGGAGUCCAGCCUUUAAGACCUUCGGGUCAAAGAGGGGAAGACUGAGUGGCGGACGGGUGAGUAACACGUGGGCAACCUGGCUCAUAGAGGGGGAUAACAGAGAGAAAUUUCUGCUAAUACCGCAUAAGCACACACUGCCGCAUGGCAGAGGGUGAAAAGAGAAUCGCUAUGAGAUGGACCCGCGUCUGAUUAGCCAGUUGGCAGGGUAAGAGCCUACCAAAGCGACGAUCAGUAGCCGAUCUGAGAGGAUGAACGGCCACAUUGGGACUGCGACACGGCCCAAACUCCUACGGGAGGCAGCAGUGGGGGAUAUUGCACAAUGGGGGGAACCCUGAUGCAGCGACGCCGCGUGAGUGAAGAAGUAUUUCGGUAUGUAAAGCUCUAUCAGCAGGGAAGAUAAUGACAGUACCUGAAUAAGAAGCCCCGGCUAACUACGUG